rnacentral:rRNA from 1 species
UACGGAGGGAGCUAGCGUUGUUCGGAAUUACUGGGCGUAAAGCGUGCGUAGGCGGUUCGUUAAGUCUGUUGUGAAAGCCCCGGGCUCAACCUGGGAAUGGCAAUGGAUACUGGCGAGCUAGAGUGUGUCAGAGGAUGGUGGAAUUCCCGGUGUAGCGGUGAAAUGCGUAGAGAUCGGGAGGAACAUCAGUGGCGAAGGCGGCCAUCUGGGACAACACUGACGCUGAGGCACGAAAGCGUGGGGAGCAAACAGG